rnacentral:rRNA from 1 species
GACGAACGCUGGCGGCGUGCCUAAUACAUGCAAGUUGAGCGAUGAAGAUUGGUGCUUGCACCAAUUUGAAGAGCAGCGAACGGGUGAGUAACGCGUGGGGAAUCUGCCUUUGAGCGGGGGACAACAUUUGGAAACGAAUGCUAAUACCGCAUAAUAACUUUAAACAUAAGUUUUAAGUUUGAAAGAUGCAAUUGCAUCACUCAAAGAUGAUCCCGCGUUGUAUUAGCUAGUUGGUGAGGUAAAGCUCACCAAGGCGAUGAUACAUAGCCGACCUGAGAGGGUGAUCGGCCACAUUGGGACUGAGACACGGCCCAAACUCCUACGGGAGGCAGCAGUAGGGAAUCUUCGGCAAUAGACGAAAGUCUGACCGAGCAACGCCGCGUGAGUGAAGAAGGUUUUCGGAUCGUAAAACUCUGUUGGUAGAGAAGAACGUUGGUGAGAGUGGAAAGCUCAUCAAGUGACGGUAACUACCCAGAAAGGGACGGCUAACUACGUG